GGGGGAAUGAGUUAAUGGCGAUGCGCGCGGUCUCCAAAACCGUGAAUCUGGGUUCGAAUCCCAGUUCCCCCG
rnacentral:tRNA from 1 species